rnacentral:rRNA from 1 species
GUUGACCUCGGAUCAGGUAGGGAUACCCGCUGAACUUAAGCAUAUCAAUAAGCCGAGAAGAAAAAAU